rnacentral:rRNA from 1 species
UCGAGAGGCUUUGGCAAUGGGGGAAACCCUGACCAAGCGACGCCGCGUGGAGGAUGAAGGCCCUUGGGUUGUAAACUCCUUUUGCAGGGGAAGAAAUGCGAUCAGGUGAAUAAUCUGGCCGUUUGACGGUACCCUGCGAAUAAGCACCGGCUACCUUCGUGCCAGCAGCCGCGGUAAUACGAAGGGUGCACGCGUUAAUCGGAAUUACUGGGCGUAAAGCGUGCGUAGGCGGUUUGUUAAGUCUGCUGUGAAAUCCCCGGGCUCAACCUGGGAAUGGCAGUGGAUACUGGCAAGCUAGAGUGUGUCAGAGGAUGGUGGAAUUCCCGGUGUAGCGGUGAAAUGCGUAGAGAUCGGGAGGAACAUCAGUGGCGAAGGCGGCCAUCUGGGACAACACUGACGCUGAGGCACGAAAGCGUGGGGAGCAAA